AGAGUUUGAUCCUGGCUCAGGACGAACGCUGGCGGCGUGCUUAACACAUGCAAGUCGAACGGACGGACUUGAGAGCUUGCUCUUAAGGAAGUUAGUGGCGGACGGGUGAGUAACGCGUGGGUAACCUGCCCUAGAGUGGGGGAUAACACCGCGAAAGUGGUGCUAAUACCGCAUGAAACUACUGAGCAGCAUUGCAUGGUAGUCAAAGGAGUAAUCCGCUUUAGGAUGGACCCGCGUCUGAUUAGCUAGUUGGUGGGGUAACGGCCUACCAAGGCGACGAUCAGUAGCCGGCCUGAGAGGGUGAACGGCCACACUGGGACUGAGACACGGCCCAGACUCCUACGGGAGGCAGCAGUGGGGAAUCUUCCGCAAUGGGCGCAAGCCUGACCGAGCAACGCCGCGUGAGGGAAGAAGGUCUUCGGAUCGUAAACCUUUGUCUUUGGGGAAGAUAGUGACGGUACCCAAGGAGGAAGCCACGGCUAACUACGUGCCAGCAGCCGCGGUAAUACGUAGGUGGCAAGCGUUGUCCGGAAUUACUGGGCGUAAAGGGCGUGUAGGCGGCCUUUUAAGUCAGGCGUGAAAACUGUGGGCUUAACCCACAGACUGCGUUUGAGACUGAGAGGCUUGAGGAUCGGAGAGGGCAGUGGAAUUCCCAGUGUAGCGGUGAAAUGCGUAGAUAUUGGGAAGAACACCAGUGGCGAAGGCGGCUGCCUGGACGACACCUGACGCUGAGGCGCGAAAGCCAGGGGAGCAAACGGGAUUAGAUACCCCGGUAGUCCUGGCUGUAAACGAUGGGUAC
rnacentral:rRNA from 1 species